UACAGAGGUCUCGAGCGUUGUUCGGAAUUACUGGGCGUAAAGGGAAUGUAGGCGGUGACGUAAGUCAGAUGUGAAAGCCCUGGGCUUAACCCAGGAAGUGCAUUUGAUACUGCGUCGCUAGAGUGCGAGAGAGGAAAGUGGAAUUCCAGGUGUAGGGGUGAAAUCCGUAGAUAUCUGGAGGAAUACCAAUGGCGAAAGCAGCUUUCUGGCUCGUAACUGACGCUGAGAUUCGAAAGCGUGGGUAGCAAACAGG
rnacentral:rRNA from 1 species